CAGUCGCCGCGGGAAUACGAAGGGUGCAAGCAUUAAUCGGAAUUACUGGGCGUAAAGGGUGCGUAGGCGGUUGUUUAAGUCUGUUGUGAAAUCCCCGGGCUCAACCUGGGAAUGGCAAUGGAAACUGGACGGCUAGAGUGUGCCAGAGGAUGGUGGAAUUCCCGGUGUAGCGGUGAAAUGCGUAGAGAUCGGGAGGGACAUCAGUGGCGAAGGCGGCCAUCUGGGACAACACUGACGCUGAGGCACGAAAGCGUGGGGAGCAAACAGGAUUAGAUACCCCAGUAGUCCAUGUCUCUUAUAC
rnacentral:rRNA from 1 species